rnacentral:rRNA from 1 species
GACGAACGCUGGCGGCGUGCUUAACACAUGCAAGUCGAACGGAAAGGCCCUGCUUUUGUGGGGUGCUCGAGUGGCGAACGGGUGAGUAACACGUGAGUAACCUGCCCUUGACUUUGGGAUAACUUCAGGAAACUGGGGCUAAUACCGGAUAGGAGCUCCUGCUGCAUGGUGGGGGUUGGAAAGUUUCGGCGGUUGGGGAUGGACUCGCGGCUUAUCAGCUUGUUGGGGGGGUAGUGGCUUACCAAGGGUUUGACGGGUAGCCGGCCUGAGAGGGUGACCGGCGACAUUGGGACUGAGAUACGGCGCAGACUCCUACGGGGGGCAGCAGUGGGGAAUAUUGCCCAGUGGGCGGAAGCCUGAUGAAGCAACGCCGCGUGCGGGAUGACGGCCUUCGGGUUGUAAACCGCUUCCGCCUGUGACGAAGCGUGAGUGACGGUAAUGGGUAAAGAAGCACCGGCUAACUACGUG